rnacentral:rRNA from 1 species
UACGUAGGGUGCGAGCGUUAAUCGGAAUUACUGGGCGUAAAGCGUGCGCAGGCGGCGCGUUAAGACAGGUGUGAAAGCCCCGAGCUUAACUUGGGAAUUGCGCUUGUGACUGGCGUGCUGGAGUGUGGCAGAGGGAGGUGGAAUUCCACGUGUAGCAGUGAAAUGCGUAGAUAUCGGGAGGAACAUCAGUGGCGAAGGCGGCCUUCUGGUCCAGUACUGACACUCAAGUGCGAAAGCGUGGGGAGCAAACAGG